rnacentral:rRNA from 1 species
CCUACGGGAGGCAGCAGUAGGGAAUCUUGCACAAUGGGCGAAAGCCUGAUGGAGCAACACAGCGUGAGUGAAGAAGGGUUUCGGCUCGUAAAGCUCUGUUGUUGGAGAAGAACGAGCGUGAGAGUAACUGUUCACGCAGUGACGGUAUCCAACCAGAAAGUCACGGCUAACUACGUGCCAGCAGCCGCGGUAAUACGUAGGUGGCAAGCGGUAUCCGGAUUUAUUGGGCGUAAAGCGAGCGGAGGUGGUUGGUUAGGUCUGAUGUGAAAACCUUCGGCUUAACCGGAGAAGUGCAUCGGAAACCGGUCGUCUUGAGUGCAGUAGAGGACAGUGGAACUCCAGGUGUAGCGGUGAAAUGCUUAGAUAUAACGAAGAACACCAGUGGCGAAGGCGGCUGUCUGGUCUGCAACUGACGCUGAGGCUCGAAAGCGUGGGUAGCGAACAGGAUUAGAUACCCUAGUAGUC